GGACUCGGAGGUCCAGGAGUACCGGUUCCUAGAUCAGGAAGACUGGGGCCCCCAGCGGACCUCAAAGGAGAUCAGGCGGUUGCAGAAUGACUGCAUGAGGCUUCGGGAGUCACUGAACACCACCCAAGUGCACAACCUGGCCCUGGGGGAGAAGCUGCAAAACCUGCCCACCUUGUUGUAUAAGAGCCUGAAGGAGGGAGCCCAGGCCAUCCAGGAGGAGGCCCAGGCCAUCCAGGAUGAAGUGAAGGCCCUGCAGGAGGAAACCCAGGCCCUGCUGGAGGUGGCUCUGCUCAGGUGUGCGGGCAGCCGUAGCGGCGGGGAGGGAAGAGGCGGUUGCCCCACACUGCUCACUCUAGCUGUCUCUGCCUGCAGUGACCCAAACCCCCGGAAGGCAGGUCUCCUCUUCAUGCUGCCUGACCUGCCCCACAGCCACAGAGACCAGGGUCAGGCCUGGCUGGGCCCCAGGUCAGAGGUCGGACACCUCCUCGGGAGGCCACUCCAUCAGCCAGCUUCUCCCUAGAUCCCGGAAAUAAACUUAGAAGCUGAGCUUCAGCUCCGCCAAGUGUCUGUGGGCCCCGGGCUCAGGUGGGGAGCAGGAGGUCACCAUGUCCACACUGAGCUCAGCCCCUCAGCCACCCUCUGACAUCACCCCCACUCCCUCAGUUCACCCAUCCUGGAUCUACCCCUCCCCGACAUGGCCCUGCCCUCCCC
rnacentral:lncRNA from 1 species